AGCGAACGCUGGCGGCAGGCUUAACACAUGCAAGUCGAACGCCCCGCAAGGGGCGUGGCAGACGGGUGAGUAACGCGUGGGAAUCUACCCAUCCCUACGGAAUAACGCAUGGAAACGUGUGCUAAUACCGUAUACGCCCUACGGGGGAAAGAUUUAUCGGGGAUGGAUGAGCCCGCGUUGGAUUAGCUAGUUGGUGGGGUAAAGGCCUACCAAGGCGACGAUCCAUAGCUGGUCUGAGAGGAUGAUCAGCCACAUUGGGACUGAGACACGGCCCAAACUCCUACGGGAGGCAGCAGUGGGGAAUAUUGGACAAUGGGCGCAAGCCUGAUCCAGCCAUGCCGCGUGAGUGAUGAAGGCCUUAGGGUUGUAAAGCUCUUUCACCGGAGAAGAUAAUGACGGUAUCCGGAGAAGAAGCCCCGGCUAACUUCGUG
rnacentral:rRNA from 1 species